AUUUCAAUCACAUGUGAAACACCCCAUUUGGGGGCUAUAUAACCACUCUGUGCACCCCACUUCUUCGGUGCCCUUUCUUCCUUCGGGAAGAAAGGCCCCAGGCCAUGGUUCCUCAUAAAGCUUUGUUUAAUUUUCUCUUGCUAUUCUGUCUCAUGUGAAUUUAAUUCGUUCUCCAGCCAGACGAACCCCCAUUUGGGGAGAGGAAAUGUCCUCCUCCCCUACACAUGUCAGCAGAAAACAAAUGCAACUUGAAGAGGCUUUAGCUAAGGAAACUGAUGAAGCUUCUGAAUACUAAAGAAACAAUUUGAUUCUUACACAUUUAUUGGAAUGUGAUGUCUGAAGUCUUAGUAGUUACUGCAGAGCUUAGAAAUCAGCAGGUACAAUAUGGUGAUGAAGAUUUUUAUGUGCUUACAUUCUGCCUACCUCCAAGAAUUAUUAAAGGAAGUGAAUGAGUGUUUUACUUGGGGGCUUUGGACAAUAUAUAAUAUGUUGUAUUCCAUUUACUAUGGAUGCAUAAUAAAUUACCCCAAGACUUAGAGACUUAAAACAACAGUUAUUGAUGAGGAUUUUUAGGCUGCUUAAUUUUAAAAUGGCUUAUGAUGAGGAUUUUUAGGCUGGUUAGUUUUAAAACUACAGAUGAGAUUCAGGCUCCAAGGAGUGGAAUUUGUUUGCCCCUUUGUUGGGAAACAUUUACAUUUCUAAGGGAAACGUCUAUCUGUGAAGAUGCCUCCCUCUCUGUGCCAGGAAGAGGGGGGGAUGGUCUUAUCUCUAGAGGCUCUUGGUCAAUGCCAGAGGCAAGAACUUAAGUUGGUUGCUGUCUGGCAAUCUCAUGUAACUGGUUUAGGGUGGUGGUGUCUGACCUUUCUAACGUUUACUUAAUCCGAUUUGAUUCUUGUCUAAAAGUCAUGGGAUCACCCAAUGACCAGACCCCACCCGCACUGAUACCAUUUUAACUUUUUUUCAUGUUCUUUCCUUUGUCUUGUAAAGAGAUGAAUCAUAUACCUAUGCCUUAUAAAAUUAGCCCUAACCCUCAACUCGGGGCAGCAGCAGGAGCUCUGACUGCCCGUGGGUCCUGUCCCCUCGCACCAGCUCUGCCUGCCCAUGGGUCCUGUCCCCAUGCCAGCGGGGGCAGCAGCAGCGGCUCUGCCUGCCCAUGGGCUCUGUCCCCAUGCCAGCGGGGGCAGCAGAAGCGGGGGCAGCAGAAGCGGCGGCAGCAGAAGCUCUGACUGCCCAUGGGUCCUGUCCCCAUGCUAUUCCACACUAUUUUCUAAAUAAAAGAGCACUACUGCCAGAUCUUGAGAGUCUAAGAAAUCUUUCUUUCGACUCCUCGGCUCACCGAUCCCGCAUCAGUUAUGAUUUAUUAUCUUUUGUGGUUUGUAUGAGUCAGUUGUGCAGUGGCUUAACUAGAUGGUUCUGGCUCAGUGCCUUCAUGAGGAUAUAAGCCAAUAUCAGGUGAGGCUGCAGUCCUCUGACGGCUUAACAGGGGUUGGAGUCUCCACUUUCAAGGUGGCUUACUCAUGGCUAGGAAGUUUGAGUUGGCUCUGCGUGGGAGGCCUCUGUUCCUCUCCAUAUUGGCCUCUCCACAGGGCCAUUUGAGUGUUCUCACAGCAAGGUGGCUGGAUUCCCCAGAGCAGGGGUGGCAAACUUUUUUGUAAAGGGCUAAAUAAUAAAUAUUUUAAGCAUUGUGACUUUGAGCCUUGUGAGCCAUCUCUAGUCUUUGUCACAUUUUCUUCGUCUUUUUUUACAUCAUAUUUUAAAAAUAUAAAAACCUAUCUUAACUGACAGUGCAUUAAAAAAACAGUCUAUAGGCUGGAUUUAGCCCAUGAGCCCUAAUUUGCCAAUCCUUGCCCUAGAUUAAGCAAUCCAAGAGACCAAGAUGGAAGCUGCCAUGUAUUUAAAGACCUGGCCUGUGAAGUCAUACACUGUCCCUUACACCAUAUUCUGUUGGUCACUUAGGGCUUGAUUCAUUGUGGGAGGGGACUACACACAGGUGUGAACGCUAUGCCAAAAACAAGGAUCAUUGGAGGCCAUCCUGGAGGCUGACUGCCACACAGUGCUUUGAAAAAUAAAGCAGUGUCUGCUGAAGGAGUGUAAAUCAGUGCAGCCACUAUGGAAAACAGUCUGGAGAGUUCUCAAAAAAUUAAAAAUAGAAAUGCCAUAUGACCCAGCUAUUCUACUUCUGGGUAUUUAUCCAAAGAACAUGAAAAUACUAAUUUGAAAGAUUUAUGCACCCCUAUGUUCAUUACAGCAUUAUUCAUAAUAGCCAAGACUUGGAAACAACCUAAGUGCCCAUCAACGGAUGAAGGGAUAAAGAAGAUGUGGUGGGUGUAUAUAAUGGAAUACUAAUCAGCCAUAAAAAAAGAUGAAAUCUUGGUAUUUGUGACAACACGGAUGGACCUCGAGGGUAUCAUACUAAGUGAAAUAAGUCAGACAGAGAAAGACAAUUAUUGUAUGACUUCACUGAUAUGUGGAAGAUAAACAAACAGACACAUAGAUGGGGAGAACAGAUUGGUGGUUACCAGAGGGGAAGGGGGCAAGGGGGCAAGGGGAAGGUGGGUCAAAGGGCACAUAUGUACAGUGAUGGAUGGGAAUAGACUUUUGGUGGUGAAUACGAAGUAGUCUAUACAGAAGUCAAAAUAUAGUGAUGUUACACCUAAAAUUUAUAUAAUGUUAUAAACCAACGUGACCUCAACAAAAAAAUAAUAAUAGCUCUGUCUGAGGAGCAUAGCAAUUGAUUAACAUCGUAGAUCACACAGAGAAUUGUCCUUCCAUUAAAGAUAAAAUAUUCUGCUCCUAAUUGCUUGCUAUUCUUCUAAAUUAUUUGCUGAAAAGUUCUAGAAAAAAGAGAAUAGAAAUAACUAGAUUGUGAGAGGAGACUAUCUUUUCUAUCUUCAAAAAUGCCACAACUCCUAGCAAAAUUAUUUUGAAAUAGUAGGCAUUAAAUAAAAAUGUUUGUUGAAUUAAAAAAAUAUAUA
rnacentral:lncRNA from 1 species